rnacentral:rRNA from 1 species
UACGUAGGGGGCAAGCGUUAUCCGGAAUUACUGGGUGUAAAGGGAGCGUAGACGGUAAUGUAAGUCUGGAGUGAAAGGCGGGGGCCCAACCCCCGGACUGCUCUGGAAACUAUGUUACUAGAGUGCAGGAGAGGUAAGCCGAAUUCCUAGUGUAGCGGUGAAAUGCGUAGAUAUUAGGAGGAACACCAGUGGCGAAGGCGGCUUACUGGACUGUAACUGACGUUGAGGCUCGAAAGCGUGGGGAGCAAACAGG